rnacentral:rRNA from 1 species
UACGGAGGGGGUUAGCGUUGUUCGGAAUUACUGGGCGUAAAGCGCGCGUAGGCGGAUUGGAAAGUUGGGGGUGAAAUCCCGGGGCUCAACCUCGGAACUGCCUCCAAAACUCCCAGUCUUGAGUUCGAGAGAGGUGAGUGGAACUCCGAGUGUAGAGGUGAAAUUCGUAGAUAUUCGGAAGAACACCAGUGGCGAAGGCGGCUCACUGGCUCGAUACUGACGCUGAGGUGCGAAAGUGUGGGGAGCAAACAGGAUUAGAUACCCUGAUAGUCCACACCGUAAACGAUGAAUGCCAGACGUCGGCAGGCAUGCCUGUCGGUGUCACACCUAACGGAUUAAGCAUUCCGCCUGGGGAGUACGGCCGCAAGGUUAAA